rnacentral:rRNA from 1 species
GACGAACGCUGGCGGCGUGCUUAACACAUGCAAGUCGAACGGAAAGGCCUCUUUCGGGGGGUACUCGAGUGGCGAACGGGUGAGUAACACGUGAGUAACCUGCCCUUGACUUUGGGAUAACUUCAGGAAACUGGGGCUAAUACCGGGUAGGAGCUCCUGCUGCAUGGUGGGGGUUGGAAAGUUUCGGCGGUUGGGGAUGGACUCGCGGCUUAUCAGCUUGUUGGUGGGGUAGUGGCUUACCAAGGCUUUGACGGGUAGCCGGCCUGAGAGGGUGACCGGCCACAUUGGGACUGAGAUACGGCCCAGACUCCUACGGGAGGCAGCAGUGGGGAAUAUUGCACAAUGGGUGGAAGCCUGAUGCAGCAACGCCGUGUGCGGGAUGACGGCCUUCGGGUUGUAAACCGCUUUCGCUCAUGACGAAGCUUUGUGUGACGGUAGUGGGGAAAGAAGCACCGGCUAACUACGU